CCCUUAGAUGUCCUGGGCUGCACGCGCGCUACACUGAUGUGUCCAGUAAGCACCUAACCUAUUCCGAGAGGAGCGGGUAACCUUAGCAAAGCACAUCGUGAUGGGGAUAGAUUAUUGCAAUUAUUAGUCUUGAACGAGGAAUUCCUAGUAAGCACAAGUCAUCAGCUUGUGUUGAUUACGUCCCUGCCCUUUGUACACACCGCCCGUCGCUCCUACCGAUUGAAUGUUCCGGUGAGCUCUUCGGACUGCGCGGUCUGUAGUUUCUGCGUUCCGUGCGGAAAGUUGUGCAAACCUUAACAUUUAGAGGAAGGAGAAGUCGUAACA
rnacentral:rRNA from 1 species